AUACGGAGGGGGCAAGCGUUAUUCGGAAUUAUUGGGCGUAAAGGGCGCGCAGGCGGCCUGGCAAGUCAAAGGUGAAAUCCCUCGGCCCAACCGAGAAACUGCCUUUGAAACUGCCUGGCUUGAGGCCGGGAGAGGGUAGUGGAAUUCCCAGUGUAGCGGUGAAAUGCGUAGAUAUUGGGAGGAACACCAGUGGCGAAGGCGACUACCUGGACCGGUUCUGACGCUGAGGCGCGAAAGCGUGGGGAGCAAACAGGAUUAGAUACCCGAGUAGUCC
rnacentral:rRNA from 1 species